rnacentral:lncRNA from 1 species
CGCAGAGUGACAGGACAUUCCUUGGUUCUACGCACACUCCUACAACUCAGGGAGGAUGCGAACUGGCAUCGGCAGAGCUUUUCAGAGCAAGCAGGGACACACCUGAACUUCGUGCACCAUCAACUCUCCAUGGUAGUAGCGAUCCAGUGCAUCUGAGCACUAUGCUUUCCCGUAGUGCUUCCAAUUUGCCUCCUAUUCCCGGGCACCACUACUGAUUCUUCAAAACUCUCUGAGAAUCUGACCAGUGACCAUCCUGCAUCUUCUUUUUAUCCUCUGU